CCUACGGGAUGCUGCAGUGGGGAAUAUUGGACAAUGGGCGAAAGCCUGAUCCAGCCAUGCCGCGUGUGUGAAGAAGGCCUUCGGGUUGUAAAGCACUUUCAGUGGGGAAGAAAGCCUUGGGGCUAAUACCCUCGAGGAAGGACAUCACCCACAGAAGAAGCACCGGCUAACUCCGUGCCAGCAGCCGCGGUAAUACGGAGGGUGCGAGCGUUAAUCGGAAUUACUGGGCGUAAAGCGCGCGUAGGCGGUCUGAUAAGCCGGUUGUGAAAGCCCCGGGCUCAACCUGGGAACGGCAUCCGGAACUGUCAGGCUAGAGGGCAGGAGAGGAAGGUAGAAUUCCCGGUGUAGCGGUGAAAUGCGUAGAGAUCGGGAGGAAUACCAGUGGCGAAGGCGGCCUUCUGGACUGACACUGACGCUGAGGUGCGAAAGCGUGGGUAGCAAACAGGAUUAGAUACCCUGGUAGUC
rnacentral:rRNA from 1 species